rnacentral:lncRNA from 1 species
GGGCUCACAGGGACGGCCAGCAAAGGCAGGCACAGGGGGCUUUGGAAUUGCUUUAAAAGGGGAGAGGGGGCUCUGAUUGAAAACCCAGCGUGAAUAAUAGCAUCCAGCACUGUAUUUUGAUGGGAUAAUUGUUUUAUAUUUGUAAAGAUUCUUAAUUAUCUCCAGCAAAUGCAUUUAGCUCACUUGGUAAUUGAAUUAAGGAAAAUGUUUUUUCAAGCAUUGUAAGUCAUUGCUAUAAUAAAAGAGAAGGAAGAAUGACUUUAAAGUACCUCCCUACAUGACCUAGACAAACUUGUUAUGACUGAAAGCUGAGUAAUCCCAUUAAGGCCUUAGUUGGUUCUAAUAGAACAGGCAUUCUGGAGAUGCCAAAUGAAAAUCGCAAGAGAUGGUGGAAACUUCCUUUCUUUGGGAAGCCUCUGUCGACCCCACUUCGAGCGGAUCCUGCCGUCCUGGUGCCCUGGGCAUACUUUUAUUUUUGUGCUUAUCACACUGACCUGUGAUAGCCUCCUGGUCAGCCUCAACUCCCCUUUAUCCCCUACGUGUCCUGAGAGCUCAGAUGGACGGCAUUUGCCCACUUCAGUAUUUCCCAGCACAGUCAAUAAAGGAGCACAUGAGAUGCUUCCCAACCUGUGUGAAUACCCUUCCUGACACAGCAGAGAACAGUCCUUCAUAAAUCCUGUGUCUUUGGAGGGACGUUUUCUGGCACACUGCGGCAGCUGUGGCUUGCAAUGUCUAAGUUACCAGGAUGUCGGUGGGGAGGGCCCUGACCAGGGCGGAGUAGGGGGACCUGCAGCGUCUGGGAGCAUGAAGCCUUGCUGCUGGAGUCUCCAGGCUCGCCAGGCAGGGCUGGGGGUGGCGCUGGGAGGAGCCCAGACAGAUAGGCCCUGAGCUUUGAAGAAAAAUCAAUAUUCAGCAGGGAGUUGAUUGUGUCAUAAACGUCUCGAGUUGCACUGCCACUUCCUGGCCCCUGAGUGGCCCAAGGUGAGCUCUGCUGAGGAGAGAGCUGCCCUGCCUACCCCUCCCCUGCACUGCCUGUCUGAGGUCACAGAAGGAGCAGGAGAAAGGCAGCAGGCAUCUUAGGUGGUAAAGCCACUCAGUGAGCCACAGCAGCGAGGCGAGGAUGGUGGCUCCCUCUUUCUUUCGGAGGUGCAUACAUUCAACAAAUAACUACUCAAUGCCCACCAUGCCCAGUCCUGGGGCCAGGCUCUGGUGAUGCGGCCAGGAGCCCGGCAGACAGUGUGCUGCCUGCAUGGAGUCUACAGUCCUGUGUGGAGAUCAAUGUUGAACGGGGAAAUGAAACAGAAAACUGGCCAAGUAGAGGCUGAUAAGCGUCAUCCAGCAAAGCAAUGAACAGGCAGGUGGAGGCUCGGGAGGGCUGGGCAGGGCUGCUGCAGAUGGGCAGGGCUCUGGGCACUCGGCUGGGCAGGAGCCUGGGCAGUGGGGGGACUGGCUCCCAACACAGCCACUCCCCAACCACUCUUGGCUUCUCUGCUUCCUUCCUUCUCUCCCUGCCUCCUUCCCACACCUAUGCCCAGGUGCUCCUGUAGCUCUGGCUUGCGUAGGGACACUGCCAAGUGGCCCAUCCCCUUCAUUUCGUAGUCCAGAUGCUCUGACAGUGACCCCAGGUGACCGCCCAUGCAUCGCCUGUCCUGGUGGGGGCCAUCCUGUGCCAUCAUUGGGGGGGGGGUGCAGUGUGCAUGACACGGCACAGCAUGGCUCAUAGCUGCCCAGCACCAGGGGCUGAGGGGGUGAUGGGCAUAGCAGUGAGCAUUCCAUCUGGGAUUGAGUCCUGCUUGCCUCUGUCAGGGGAUGUCCUUAGGCAAGUCCCUUAACAUGCAUGUGCCUCAGUUUUGUCACCUGUAGCCCAGUGCCUCAUGGUGCCAAGGAGGUCACAAGCAUGAAGCCCCUGGCAGGGUGUGCCGGGCACGUGUGCACAUGCCCCCUGGAGGGGAUUCAUCAUCGCGGGCGGAGCUCUGCAGUUCCAGCCUCCUGAGGGUCCUGAUGCCUCACGAGGCCAAGAGGCAAAGGGUUUUGUAACUUACAUAACCGCAGAGAAAGGCAAGGUUGCUGCUCACAAUGAUGCUUUCACAGGGCGGCUCUGGGACGGCAUCCUCACCCGACUAUAUGGAAUUCCACAUCCUUUCCGAAUCUUGGUGUUACACAAUAGUCACUGAGAUAUCAUGUACCCCAUUAACGUUGAGACUUUUAUGUAUUUACAAUUCAGCUUAAAUUUUUACCCAGAGAAGUUUUCAAAAUGUAACAUGUGUUAGUCACUGUGUGAAUUGCGAAACCAAGGAAAUAUCUCCAAAGUGCUGGCCUUGACAAUGUAAUCUGGCAAGGCUUGGGGAGGAAUAAAAAUAACACUUCUCAGCAUCGCCGUCUCUGAGGGCAGGAGUGAUCUGGAGCCCUCCCCAAGCCCACAGGUGCAUAGAUGACUUACUUUCAGAAAAUGUCAACAGGGUGCUCUGCAGAGGGGCAUGGGCUUUUAUGCCUUUAUUAUGCUUUUCUGUAUUAAAAGAAAAAUACAGUCAUGUGAUUUUAGAAACUCAACCCAUGGAAGAGAGAAUACUGGGUCUGUAGGAAAUCUGCAAAGUGGGAAAGAUACUUCUGGGCUUGGUGGUGGCACCUUGGAGCCUGCUUACGGAAAUCACCUCUCGUUCCCGUGAUGCUGAAAGCAGAAUGCUGGACAUGGAAGAACCGCGGUACUCGAGCUUCGUCUGCUGCCCCACACCCCACUGGCUGUUGCAAGAGUGACGUUGCCAUUGGUGACUGCAGGUCUCCCAGCAGCCUGGUGCAGAGAGGCCACUUCAGGCUCGAACAGAGGCCCGGGUUUCCACGGGAGACAGCAGAGCCACGGUGUAGCAGGCAUCCAGCUCUCCCCCGAUCAGUUCCGUGACUUGUCGGAAGGCCCUCCCUCCCGGUCAGACGAAGAAAGGACUGGUGGCCUCUGGGGAUCCUGAGCCUGUCUCCAUGGGAACCAGCUCACCCACCCCCUCUCUGGCAAGUGUCCUAGUGGGAGCCAUGGGAAACCAUGGGCUCCAGCCCCUGGCCGCUGACUGGUUGGCGGCCUUCCGUUUUGAGAUCCCUGGCCCAGGGUAAUGGAGGGGACCUCAUCUUACAGAAGACACAGCGAGGGUGUGGAGAGGCUGUGGGGGAAGCACAGCCUGGCCGGCAGCUGCUGGGUGUCCUGGCUUGAGCUCAGGGCACCUUUGUCCCAGGGUGGGACCCUCAGGUCUCAGGGGCUGCUCCAUCCCCGUUGAGGGCUCCCUUCAUUCUUGAUGUCUGUCCACUCACAGAGGGGGCGUCAUGCCUCUCCAAAGACCCCCACAUUCCAGUCCUUGUGUCCCUGAGGUCGGCCUCCUGGCGGCCACCUCACAGGGAAGGCCCUGGACACAGGGCCCUGGCCUAAUGCAGCAUGGCUUCAUCUUAACUAGUUACGUGUGCAAAGACCCUGUCUCCAAACAAGGUCAUAUUUUGGGCUUCUGAGUGGAAGUUGGUUUGGGGGACACUCAUCAACCCAGCACAAUGCUCCCCCUCACCAUGUUCGUUGAAGAGAAGACUCUUGGACACCUGGAGGCCACCAGUCCUUUCUGGAUCCCCAGAGGCCACCAGUACUUUCUUCCUCUGACCUGAAACAAGAGCUAGCAGGGGCUGGCAGGCCGACUGCGUCUGCUGCCAUUUUGAGUACUGGCCCCAGCCGCAAUGCCCAGGACUGAGUCAUGGAGAUUCCCUCAGAAAUGGUGCAACCCAGUCUGUCCACAGAGUGAGGGGCGACAAGCCUGGUGGCCCCGGCUUCAGUGCAGGCCAUCCUUUCCACCUAUUGUCUCCUUUUGGUCUCAUGGGGACCCGGUUCUUGUCCUCUGCCCUGUAGCAUGGCUACGACCCUCAUGGGCCACAAACUUGAUGCCCUCAGGCGGCUAGACUCUACCCCAGAUCCGGGGCUGGCAGCGGCAUGGAUGUGGUCAACUGGCAUGCAGUUGUUACCCAGACACCCUCCCAUCAGCACUUUUUUAGGGGGUGAGUGACAGAAACUCAACUUGGGCUUAAAGGUGAAUUUACUGGUUCCUGUGAUGACAGAGUUCAAGGUUCAGCUGGACCUGGUGCCUCCAAUGACGUCACCAAGUCUGUCUGUCCAUCUGUCUGAGUUCAGCUUCCUCCAGGUCUUCGUUCUCCAGCAGGCCUUCUCCUCAAAGUGGCCAGGUGACUGUCAGCUCUAUGGUUCAUUCUACCAGUUUAUGAAUCUCCCCUCCUCAUGUUGCUCAAAUUCAGCUGUGAGUAAACUCCCAAGCUGAUUGCAGCGUCCAAAGGGAGGGCACUGGUCCCAUGUGCAGCCGGCAACUCUAUGGGUUCAGCUCCACCCAAACUAUAUAGACCACAGCAGGGAAGGAAAGCCAGGGAUGCUAGGAUGGCCAGCACCACUGCAGAAGCCUAUUGAUCCCGUGCAAAAUAGCUCCAGUAAAAGGAGGGCUUUGGGGCCCGGUGUGUUGGCACACACCUGUAAUCCCAGCACUUUGGGAGGCCAAGGCAUGUGGAUCACUUGAGGUCAAAAG